UACUGUGGCCAUACUGGUUUGUAAAAGCCAGAUCUCAGAAGUUAAGUGAGGCCAGACCUGGUCAGGACUUGGAUGGGACACUGCUGAGAAUAGCAGGUGCCAAAGAGG
rnacentral:rRNA from 1 species